AAAAUUUAAAUUUAAUAUACUAAAAUAGUAAAUAAAUAUUUAUUUAAACUUAAAUAAUUUGGCGGUAUUUUAGUUCAUUUAGAGGAAUCUGUUUAAUAAUUGAUAUUCCACGAAUAAAUUUACUUAAUUUUUUUUUUUAUUUUGUAUAUCGUUGUUAUAAAAAUAUUU
rnacentral:rRNA from 1 species